rnacentral:rRNA from 1 species
AUGGAAGUUGCAUUAGCUAGCGCUGCUGUAAGUGUUAGCUUAAAAGUGGCAGCCUUGAAGAAGCUCCUUGCUAGUGCUUCAAAGUACCUUGGAGUGGACAUGAUGCGUGAGCUCCAUGAUCUGGAGACCACUAUCAUGCCACAGCUAGAGCUGGUGAUUGAAGCAGCAAACAAGGGAAACCACAGGCCCAUGUUGGACAAAUGGCUUCAGGAACUCAAAGAAGGCUUCUACCUGGCUGAAGACUUGCUGGACAAGCAUGAAUACAACCUUCUCAAACGCCAAACAAAGGGAAAGGAUUCCUUACCGGCCAAUGCCUCCAUCAGCAGCACUUUUCUGAAGCCUUUGCGUGCUGCGUCGAACAGGCUGUCCAAUCUGAGCGCAGAGAACAGAAAGCUAAUUCAACAGUUAAAUGAACUGAAGGAUACCCUGGCAAAAGCCAAGGACUUCCGUGAACUGCUCUGCAUACCAGUUGGUUAUAAUGUAGAGAGCUCCUCCAUACGAUCAAUUGUUCCAGAAACUACAUCAAUACCACCUCUGAAAGUGAUUGGUCGUAACAAGGAUCGCAACCAUAUGAUAAAAUGUCUCACCAAGACAACAACUACUAAGUCCAGUACAACUAUGUACUCGAGUUUGGCUAUUGUUGGACCUGGAGGCAUCGGAAAGUCCACCUUGGCACAACUUGUCUACAACAGCAAGAGGGUAAAAAAAUAUUUUGAUGUGAGAAUGUGGGUAAGCAUAUCACGCAAACUUGAUGUACACCGUCAUACACGGGAGAUCAUCGAGUCUGCCUCUCAGGGGGAAUGCCCACGCAUUGACAACCUUGAUACAUUGCAGCGCAAGUUGGCAGAUAUACUGCAAGACUCAGGGAAAUUCCUUCUUGUGUUGGAUGAUGUUUGGUUUGAACCUGGCAGUGAGGGGAAUGGGACCAACUGUUAG